UCCUUAAAAAGCCUUAUAGCGCUAGGAC
rnacentral:piRNA from 1 species